ensembl:lncRNA
GUCAAUGGUUAAUAGUUUAUUUUACCAAGGAACAAUACAAUUGCUUUUUUCAUAUUUUGAAUACACUGUCCUCCAUUGCUGUGCUUACCCCCACCCCGCUUUAAAACGAUAUUUGAUGUGCUGAUCAUCCUGUGUAUUUGCCAACAUACCAUUUACAAUUAUCUCCACACCUGAACACCAACGUUGAUAUUUCAAACUAUAUUUAUCCAUAUUUCACAAUUUGUUUCAAUGUACAUAUUGCUAAAAAAAAACAUGCUAUAUUAUGUAACUUGAUGUACUUAUCCUUAAUUUGCCUUCAUAAGUGUUCGGUAUUGCACAAAUGUGGAAAGGUUUUUUGUUUUGAUAAUUAGCAAAGAAAACAUGUUGGUCUGAUGAUCUUAUUGAUAGCUGUUCUGCCCCCCCAACCAACACCCCCCAAAUACAGAAAAAACAACAACGCUUUUUUCUAUUUCAUUUAGUGUGGCCAUUCUACGGUAAGACCCAGUACAAAACACAGGUAUGUUGACGUCAGUAUGAAAAUACCUUUAAGUACUGGUCUAUUGAGUGUUUCCUGUGUGUCCGAACACUCACAACACGUGUUACAUCUUGAUAAUUACAAUAGAGCAUAAUGACUUAAAAAAGAGAGAACAAAUAAAAACAAACUCCUAAAGCAAACGAGAACACAGCCGAGGAGGUCAGAGGGACGGGUGAAGGGGACAGGAACACACAGGGUAGGAUUUGCCCGGAGUGGAAGAGAUAAUGAUAUAUAUAUUCAAAGACCUUGAAGCAGGGCUGAAAAGGUGGAAACGAGGGCCUGGUGUUACUAUGAGCCAUCUGACGUCAACAUGACAGCAAGCAGAAGAUGUGAUUGUUGUCGUUUAAUCACCUUCAAUCCAAUCUCGCGAUUCAUUCAAUAUUCAAUAUGUAUGGAGAGAAACACUAUUCUAUGUUUUUAGAGUAAAACGCACGGUCAAAAAGGUGACCGUGAGUGAUGGGUCUAGGGGGGGAAGGGGGAUGGGGGGGUGAAGGUUGUGUGUGAAGGUAUGUGGUGUACUUGCACAUCCUCCUCUUUAUAAUAGAUUAUUUAUCACAGCGAGGAACAGAGGAAAGGAGACAGGUUUAACGGGACUAUGGGGCUGCACCAUAAGAACUUAGUAUAUUAGGUACGAGAGAGAAGACACUUCCUGGGUGCGUUCUGCUCCGGUUCCGCGUGGUGCACUGGGGAGGCGGGGCCUGUGAUGGGGGCGGGGUGGGGGGGGGGGCGAUGGAUGGCAGGAUGGCGGUUCUUGCUUCCGGUGUGUUUGGCACACUUGUCUUUCGCUCCAGUCUCACAUGUCCUCCUCAAGGUCAGAGCUGUGAUUGCUUAUCUGUUUUGGGGGGGAGAGACAUUUAGAGAGACAGACAGGCAUACCAUGAGGCAGGCAGGCAGGAAGGUUAGACAGACACACACAUCAAUUUAUUAUUACAAGCAUUGGAUGAUAUUAAAUCCCUCCGCUACUCCAAAUGUGAUUCACAAUGGAGAAGAUUAACUACUUUGCAACGAUUAUUUUCCUCAUUAUUUACUGUCCUAUUUUCACCAAUUCAUAUUUUAUAGAACUAUUGGAAAUCACACAGACAAAGACACACACAGACACUCAGAAGUAUAUCACGCAGGAACCGGAGAUCCUCAUAUCCCAAAAUGCCUCCAGAAUCUUGUUAUUCAAGUUUAAGUGUUAGUUUCUCUUCCGUGAUCUUGAACUUUGUAGUCCAUGCCAUUUUUACUGGUUACCGAAAUAAAAACGUAAUUUAGAAGAAAACUGGUGGAGUAUACAAUGCUUUGCCCGUCUCCCCCAACCAGUUUGUUCUACGUUGUCUCCAAACUUAAGUCCCCAAACAAAGGGCCUUUUGGGGGUCCCUUGGCCGUCCCCACGAGGAGACCCCUACGCAGAGAGGUGUGUGCGGAGCUCCGUCUGGCCAGCGGUCGAUGUGUCCGAGAGAGAGUUAAACUUCUCGCUCACUUAUAGUAUAACGCCGCAAUCGUUAGACAACAUCGCUCCUUUCAAACCUCGCACUAAAGGCUACUCGCAUAAAGAAAGGCCUCGCAAGACGGCGUUGAUCGUAGCCAGGGGCAUAACGACUCCCCCGCCAGCUGACAUCUCUCAGCCCAAAAUUGACCCCUGUAAGUUUGAAUUCAACCUGAACCAGGGGAGUCAAUUCCAAUUUAAGGUGACUGAUAAUCUGGGGCCCUAUGGUGCAUGUCCUUCCCUCCAUCUCCCAUACCUUCCUAUCCAACUCAUCAUAAAGCAUGAACAUAUAAUGAUAAUCCGCCCCUUUUGCCCUCCAUGGGUCCCUGAAUCAGCAGCCCAGAGAAGCCCCUGCAGUGUGGAGGCGGGUUUACCGAGUGGUGCUCGUCGUCGGUGGCCUCCCCCAGCUCGGGGCUCUCUCUCUGGACUCUAUGGCGGGAGCUGGGGGGAGACAGAGGGGGGAGGGACUGCUCUGGGCUGCUGGCGGAGGGAGGGUACGGGGAGCCGGCCGGACUGUCCUCUCUCAAUGGAGACCCUGCAGCGACAAGGGCACACACACACACACACUGUUGGUGAGGUCUGACGAGCACACACACACACACACACACACACACACACACACACACACUGUUGACUGCAUAAGGGGGUAUAUAUUUUAGGUAAUAAAUUGUGUUACUUUUAUCAUUGGACCUCAUGCUACAUGGUACAUGAAGAAGUGUUGGCGGUCCCAAACAGAGUUUGCGUGCAUGCUAUGCGUAGGCUGAUUCGCAAUCGCGUCCAGAUUGAAGAUAAAUUAAAUAAUUUUAAAACUACUCAAAUGAUC